rnacentral:rRNA from 1 species
AACGAACGCUGGCGGCAUGCCUAACACAUGCAAGUCGAACGAGACCUUCGGGUCUAGUGGCGCACGGGUGCGUAACGCGUGGGAACCUGCCCUUAGGUUCGGAAUAACUCCCCGAAAGGGGUGCUAAUACCGGAUAAUGUCUUCGGACCAAAGAUUUAUCGCCUUUGGAUGGGCCCGCGUUGGAUUAGCUAGUUGGUAGGGUAAAAGCCUACCAAGGCGACGAUCCAUAGCUGGUCUGAGAGGAUGAUCAGCCACACUGGGACUGGGACACGGCCCAGACUCCUACGGGAGGCAGCAGUGGGGAAUAUUGGACAAUGGGCGAAAGCCUGAUCCAGCAAUGCCGCGUGAGUGAUGAAGGCCUCAGGGUUGUAAAGCUCUUUUACCCGGGAUGAUAAUGACAGUACCGGGAGAAUAAGCUCCGGCUAACUCCGUG